GUCCUGAAGCUGAUGAUGAUGAUGCAGCAGCCCUGAUCGGUCCUCUGCUAAUGGAUGGGUAAUUCCAAAAAAAGACGGAAUACCUGUGGUCCUUGAAUACAACCAGCAUCCAACUUUAUCAACAACUUAGAAGCAGAAUCCAGAGUAUGAUGAAUGCAAUGGAGUUUCUGGAUGAUGAGCAGUAUCAUGAACAGCUAUUUGGUUGAAAUCUCUUCAAAAUGAGCAUUUCUAUCUCUGGAUAAAGAUAAUCAUAUAAGCCUAAGUUGAAAAUAUAAAGCCUAGAAUGACUUCAACCCAUAACAACAGUCUACCCUCUGGCCCCAUAAAAUUCAUGUUCUGGAGUCGGGGGAAGAUGGCGCUGUAGGAGCAGCUCAGGAUUGCAGCUACCAGUG
rnacentral:lncRNA from 13 species